rnacentral:rRNA from 1 species
CCUACGGGAGGCAGCAGUGAGGAAUAUUCGUCAAUGGGCGGGAGCCUGAACCAGCCAAGUCGCGUGAGGGAAGACGGUCCUAUGGAUUGUAAACCUCGUUAGGCGGGGAGCAAUGCCGGGCACGCGUGCGCGGAGGGAGAGUACCCGCAGAAUAAGCAUCGGCUAACUCCGUGACAGCAGCCGCGGUAAUACGGAGGAUGCUAGCGUUCUCCGGAUUUAUUGGGUUUAAAGGGUGCGUAGGCGGAUUUUUAAGUCAGCGGUAAAAUGUCCGGGCUCAACCCGGGCCGGCCGUUGAUACUAGGGAUCUUGAGUGGGCGAGAGGUAUGCGGAAUGCGUGGUGAAGCGGUGAAAUGCAUAGAUAUCACGCAGAACUCCGAUUGCGAAGGCAGCAUACCGGCGCCCGACUGACGCUGAGGGACGAAAGCGUGGGGAUCGAACAGGAUUAGAUACCCGUGUAGUC